rnacentral:rRNA from 1 species
UACGUAGGAUGCAAGCGUUGUUCGGAAUUACUGGGCGUAAAGAGUACGUAGGCGGCAAUGUAAGUCUGAUAUUAAAGACUGGGGGCUUAACCUCAGGAGUGUAUCGGAAACUACAUAGCUAGAGGACAGUAGAGGAAGUCGGAAUUCUCAGUGUAGCGGUGAAAUGCGUAGAUAUUGGGAAGAACACCGGUGGCGAAAGCGGACUUCUGGGCUGUUACUGACGCUGAGGUACGAAAGCGUGGGGAGCAAACAGG